GACAGAGGGGGCAAGCGUUGCUCGGAAUUACUGGGCGUAAAGGGCGCGUAGGCGGAAUGGCAAGUCGGUCGUGAAAUCCUUCGGCUCAACCGAAGAACGUCGAUCGAAACUGCCGUUCUUGAGGAUUGCAGAGGAGACUGGAAUUCCCGGUGUAGCGGUGAAAUGCGUAGAUAUCAGGAGGAACACCGGUGGCGAAGGCGGCUAUCUGGACAGAGUCUGACGCUGAGGCGCGAAAGCUAGGGGAGCAAACAGG
rnacentral:rRNA from 1 species